GGUAACUGUUCGAAGGGGUAGUAUUGAUUAUUGAAUUGAUUUAGCUGAUGUCCGGUUGGUUGAGGUAGAGCUAUAGCUGGCGAUUUCUGAGGACCACUUGGUUCUGGAAUGUAUCCUGUUGGUCAGAAACACUCAGCACCAGCUUGGUUCUGAGUACGCUAUGAUAAAUUAGUGCGAUAUCUGCAUGCUUACCUAUUAUUAGUCUAUAAAAUCUUUAAAUAGAAGAGUUGUAAGGUUUUACUCGAACCGCCAGAAAGUAAAAUCAAAAUAAACAUAAGACGACCAGAAAGUUAAGAAAAAUGUAUGUUUUGUUGUAAUCUACUACGAGAACAAGCGAGGAAGGUAAAACGCAGGUACUCGAAAUAAAACUAAGAUAGCUGGUACUAAAUAAGCUGUGGUGCUAACUAACUUAUCACAUAUCAAUCAAUGCAAACCAACUAUUACAUAAAUGAUAAUUAAAUGUUCAAGACAUAAUGCCCAAAACUAAUAAACGUAAAGAGCCCAAGUA